rnacentral:rRNA from 1 species
GACGAACGCUGGCGGCGUGCUUAACACAUGCAAGUCGAACGGAAAGGCCCUGCUUUUGUGGGGUGCUCGAGUGGCGAACGGGUGAGUAACACGUGAGUAACCUGCCCUUGACUUUGGGAUAACUUCAGGAAACUGGGGCUAAUACCGGAUAGGAGCUCCUGCUGCAUGGUGGGGGUUGGAAAGUUUCUGCGGGUGGGGAUGGGCUCGCGGGUUAUCAGCUUGAUGGUGAGGUAGUGGCUUACCAAGGCUGUGAUGGGUAGCGGUCCGGAGGGGGUGAGCCCGCAGAGGGGGACGGCGAAACGGGCCAGACUCCUACGGGAGGCAGCAGUGGGGAAUACUGGAGGAGGGGAGCAAGCCUGAUGGAGCCAUGCCGCGUGCAGGAGGACGGUGGGAGGGAUUGUGACCUGCUUUUAUACGAGAAGAAACACUGCUACGUGGAGCAGCGUGACGGUAUCGGAAGAAUAAGCACCGGCUAACUCCGUG